rnacentral:ncRNA from 1 species
UAAUAAGUGAUAGUUUACAUAUAAAAGUUUUAUUCUGACUUAAUAAUUUAAGGAACAAUAUAAAUAUAUGUUUAAAAUUAAGAAAUAUAAUAGCAGUAAAUAAAAUUAUACAACUUAAAUAGGUAUAGAAAUUUAAUAAAUAAUCGAAGAAUUAUGUGCCAGCAUUUGCGGUUAUACAUAAGAUUAUAUAAAUGUUAAAGGUUAAAGUAAAGAUUGAUAAUAUAAGUGUAAAAAUACGAGUAACAACAGGUGAAAUUGGUUUAUUUUAGGUAAGCAAAAAUCUAUAUUACGAGAUUUAAUCAGAGACCAGGAUUAGAUACCCUGUUAUAUAAAAACUAAAUAUAUUUACCUGAGUAGUAAAUUUGUGAAACUAAAAGAAUUUGGCGGUAUUUUAUAAAUUAGAGGAAUAUGUUAAGUGAAUGAUAGCCCACGAUAGACUUCACAUUUUUAAAAACUUAUGUAUUGUUGUUGGUAGAUAAAAUUGAAAGGUUUUUUCGUUUUAUAGAAUAAAUGAAGACAAAUCAUAGUGUAGUGAAUAAAAAUGAUUAUAAUGUAUUACAAUUUUUAAAAAUAAUAGAUAUUUUAAAGUAUUAUAAAAUUGAAACAGGAUUUAUUAGUAAAAUUAUAAAAUAUUUUAUAGUGUGAAUGUAAAUUAAAAUAUGUACACAUCGCCCGUCGCUCUUAAAUAUAAGAUAAGUCGUAACAAAGUAGGCCUAUUGGAAAAUAGGCCUUGAAAG